CUUCUGGGCUGUGAGCUACGUGGGGCAUGGGCCAGAUUUGUCUUGGCCCCCUGCUGCCCCCACUGGGUAGCCUCCCUGCCUGGCACCCAGGGCCCCCAAGUGCAUGGUACCCUUCCCAGCGUAGUCCUGGUCCUCUCUGACCUCAGGAUCUUCACUGUUGAAUGGGCAUAAGAAUCCUUGCCCUCUCUGCCUUGCAAGGGAAGAGCCAGGGAGCAGUCACAAGAGGAAAGCAUUUUGCAAACUCGGCAGCGCUGGGGACCAGGCUACAGUGGGCUUCACCUCUCGUUUGCACGUGCAGUGCUGGCUCUGAAGAAACAAGCUGCAUGAAUCCUACAGCUGUAAAGAAAUGACCAAUAACCUGAGGAGCUUGAAAGUAGAUCCUUCCCCAGUCAAGCCCCUGAUGAGAAGCCAGCCCCAGCCAGCAGAAUUGGAACCCGCUAAGCAGAGGCUCCAGCUAAGCUGUGCCCAGACUCCUGGCCCACA